CUCUUUUAAGUACAACUCCCGCCUUUGACUUUACCCCCUUUCUGUUGAUAUCCAUGGAGAGGUGAGGGGCACGCUGUAUCACUCGAAUUGACGGGAGGACAUUGUUUUCGUCUAUUUUCGUCAGGCUUUGUGGUUGAGACGAUUAAACGCAGCCAGGACAAGAAAUCCUGCUGUGCGUCGUCAAUAUUCUUAAACGCAACGCGGUCGGACACGACCGGUUACUAUCCACCGUGUGUGGUCUGCUGUGAACACCCUCCAUCCAAUUUCGCCACUCGGCGAAACAAGCCCGAUGAUUUACGGGCUUGCCGGCUAACAAUUACCUCUGCUUGUGUUUCAUCGUUCCGCUGGUGGAAAAUGCGUCGAUUGUUAGAUUGCAAGCGGCAGCUGCUCCCCGACCAGCAACAAGACUAAAACAGUGAAGCUGAACAACACAUGGAUAACUGUCCCGAUGAGUAAUUUCACACUCAUUGUAUAUUACCUUUGAAAAUCAAAGGCUUGCAGAUGAUUUUAUUUAAAAAAUAAAAUAAAACAAAAAAAAAUGCACCACAAAUGUGGAUGUAUGUCACUGCUGAUCAACCCAUAGAAAAAUCACAACUUUUGUAUUGGUCAUUUGAUACACAGAUACACUUACUUGGGAGUGGGGGGAUUCACCUACCAUUCGAUUCAAAUCGCAAUACUUGAGCGAUUAUUUGAUUUAUAGCACGAAUAUUGAUUGUAUUGUGAUUUGAGAUUCAAUAUCACGGUUAUC